AGGACUAACGCUGGCGGCGUGCCUAACACAUGCAAGUCGAGCGGGGUAGCAAUACCCAGCGGCAGACGGGUGAGUAACGCGUGGUCAACCUUCCGUUGAAUGGGGGAUAACUAGCCGAAAGGUUAGCUAAUACCGCAUACGAUCUUUUGAAGGCAUCUUUAAAAGAUGAAAGGAGCAAUUCGUUCAACGACGGGACCGCGUCCCAUUAGCUAGAUGGUGGGGUAAUGGCCUACCAUGGCAACGAUGGGUAGCUGGUUUGAGAGAGCGACCAGCCACACUAGGACUGAGAAACGGCCCAGACUCCUACGGGAGGCAGCAGUGAGGAAUUUUCCGCAAUGGGCGAAAGCCUGACGGAGCGACGCCGCGUGUGGGAAGAAGGCCUUCGGGUCGUAAACCACUGUCGAAGGGGACGAUAAUGACGGUACCCUUGGAGGAAGCCCCGGCUAACUACGUGCCAGCAGCCGC
rnacentral:rRNA from 1 species